GUGCCAGCCGCCGCGGUAAAACGUAGGACGCGAGCGUUAUCCGGAGUUACUGGGCGUAAAGGGUGGGCAGGCGGCCGUGUCAGAUGGGUGUGAAAUCUCCCGGCUCAACCGGGAGGGGCCACUCGUGACUGCACGGCUGGAGGGCAGCAGAGGCGCGUGGAAUUCCGGGUGGAGUGGUGAAAUGCGUAGAGAUCCGGAGGAACACCAGAGGCGAAGGCGGCGCGCUGGGCUGCACCUGACGCUGAACCACGAAAGCCAGGGUAGCGAACGGGAUUAGAUACCCCCGUAGUCC
rnacentral:rRNA from 1 species